GGAAGGGUGGCCGAGUGGUUUAAGGCGGCGGUCUCGAAAACCGCUGUACGGGUUUCCCCGUACCGUGGGUUCGAAUCCCACCCCUUCCGCCA
rnacentral:tRNA from 1 species